rnacentral:rRNA from 1 species
UACGUAGGGGGCUAGCGUUGUCCGGAAUCAUUGGGCGUAAAGCGCGUGUAGGCGGUUCGGUAAGUCCGCUGUGAAAGUCGAGGGCUCAACCCUCGAAUGCCGGUGGAUACUGUCGGGCUAGAGUGCGGAAGAGGCGAGUGGAAUUCCUGGUGUAGCGGUGAAAUGCGCAGAUAUCAGGAGGAACACCUAUUGCGAAGGCAGCUCGCUGGGACGUUACUGACGCUGAGACGCGAAAGCGUGGGGAGCAAACAGG